UACAGAGGUCUCAAGCGUUGUUCGGAUUCAUUGGGCGUAAAGGGUGCGUAGGUGGCGCCGUAAGUCAGGUGUGAAAUUUCGGAGCUUAACUCCGAAACUGCAUUUGAUACUGCGGUGCUUGAGGACUGGAGAGGAGACUGGAAUUUACGGUGUAGCAGUGAAAUGCGUAGAGAUCCGGAAGAACACCGGUGGCGAAGGCGGCCUGCUGGGCUAUGGCUGACACUGAGGCGCGACAGCGUGGGGAGCAAACAGG
rnacentral:rRNA from 1 species